rnacentral:rRNA from 1 species
CUUGGCGGUCAUAAUGCUGUGGACCCACCUGAUUCCAUGCCGAACUCAGAAGUGAAACGCAGAGAUGCCGAUGGUAGUGUGGGGUUUCCCCAUGUGAGAGUAGGUCACCGCCAGGU